rnacentral:tRNA from 1 species
GAGGUUGUAGCUCAGUGGUGGAGCGCUUUCCAAGCACGUGUGAGGCACUGGGUUCGAUUCUCAGCACCACA